UACGUAGGGUGCAAGCGUUGUCCGGAAUUAUUGGGCGUAAAGAGCGUGUAGGCGGCCCGACCAGUCCGCUGUGAAAGUCCAGGGCUCAACCCUGGAAUGCCGGUGGAUACUGUCGGGCUAGAGUCCGGAAGGGGCGAGUGGAAUUCCUGGUGUAGCGGUGAAAUGCGCAGAUAUCAGGAGGAACACCGGUGGCGAAGGCGGUGGGCUGGGCCGGUACUGACGCUGAGGAGCGAAAGCGUGGGGAGCGAACAGG
rnacentral:rRNA from 1 species